rnacentral:rRNA from 1 species
UUUAUGGAGAGUUUGAUCCUGGCUCAGGAUGAACGCUGGCGGCGUGCCUAAUACAUGCAAGUCGAGCGAACGGACGAGAAGCUUGCUUCUCUGAUGUUAGCGGCGGACGGGUGAGUAACACGUGGAUAACCUACCUAUAAGACUGGGAUAACUUCGGGAAACUGGAGCUAAUACCGGAUAAUAUUUUGAACCGCAUGGUUCAAAAGUGAAAGACGGUCUUGCUGUCACUUAUAGAUGGAUCCGCGCUGCAUUAGCUAGUUGGUAAGGUAACGGCUUACCAAGGCAACGAUGCAUAGCCGACCUGAGAGGGUGAUCGGCCACACUGGAACUGAGACACGGUCCAGACUCCUACGGGAGGCAGCAGUAGGGAAUCUUCCGCAAUGGGCGAAAGCCUGACGGAGCAACGCCGCGUGAGUGAUGAAGGUCUUCGGAUCGUAAAACUCUGUUAUUAGGGAAGAACAUAUGUGUAAGUAACUGUGCACAUCUUGACGGUACCUAAUCAGAAAGCCACGGCUAACUACGUGCCAGCAGCCGCGGUAAUACGUAGGUGGCAAGCGUUAUCCGGAAUUAUUGGGCGUAAAGCGCGCGUAGGCGGUUUUUUAAGUCUGAUGUGAAAGCCCACGGCUCAACCGUGGAGGGUCAUUGGAAACUGGAAAACUUGAGUGCAGAAGAGGAAAGUGGAAUUCCAUGUGUAGCGGUGAAAUGCGCAGAGAUAUGGAGGAACACCAGUGGCGAAGGCGACUUUCUGGUCUGUAACUGACGCUGAUGUGCGAAAGCGUGGGGAUCAAACAGGAUUAGAUACCCUGGUAGUCCACGCCGUAAACGAUGAGUGCUAAGUGUUAGGGGGUUUCCGCCCCUUAGUGCUGCAGCUAACGCAUUAAGCACUCCGCCUGGGGAGUACGACCGCAAGGUUGAAACUCAAAGGAAUUGACGGGGACCCGCACAAGCGGUGGAGCAUGUGGUUUAAUUCGAAGCAACGCGAAGAACCUUACCAAAUCUUGACAUCCUUUGACAACUCUAGAGAUAGAGCCUUCCCCUUCGGGGGACAAAGUGACAGGUGGUGCAUGGUUGUCGUCAGCUCGUGUCGUGAGAUGUUGGGUUAAGUCCCGCAACGAGCGCAACCCUUAAGCUUAGUUGCCAUCAUUAAGUUGGGCACUCUAAGUUGACUGCCGGUGACAAACCGGAGGAAGGUGGGGAUGACGUCAAAUCAUCAUGCCCCUUAUGAUUUGGGCUACACACGUGCUACAAUGGACAAUACAAAGGGUAGCGAAACCGCGAGGUCAAGCAAAUCCCAUAAAGUUGUUCUCAGUUCGGAUUGUAGUCUGCAACUCGACUACAUGAAGCUGGAAUCGCUAGUAAUCGUAGAUCAGCAUGCUACGGUGAAUACGUUCCCGGGUCUUGUACACACCGCCCGUCACACCACGAGAGUUUGUAACACCCGAAGCCGGUGGAGUAACCUUUUAGGAGCUAGCCGUCGAAGGUGGGACAAAUGAUUGGGGUGAAGUCGUAACAAGGUAGCCGUAUCGGAAGGUGCGGCUGGAUCACCUCCUUUCU